AAUAAUGUGGCCGAACCUAAAGCAAUAAACUGUAAAUUUAUUUAUGAAUUAAAAUUUAUUUAUUCCAUUAUUA
rnacentral:tRNA from 1 species